CAGGCCUUGACAUGUCCAGUUUGAUCGGCAGAGAUGCCUUUCUUCACUUCGGGUGGCUGGAACACAGGUGCUGCAUGGCUGUCGUCAGCUCGUGUCGUGAGAUGUUGGGUUAAGUCCCGCAACGAGCGCAACCCUCGUCCUUAGUUGCUAACAUUCAGUUGAGAACUCUAAGGAAACUGCCUGUGAUAAGCAGGAGGAAGGUGGGGACGACGUCAAGUCAUCAUGGCCCUUACGGCCUGGGCUACACACGUGCUACAAUGGUUGCUACAAUGGGCAGCGAUCCCGCGAGGGCUAGCUAAUCCCCAAAAGCAAUCUCAGUUCGGAUUGUACUCUGCAACUCGAGUACAUGAAGUUGGAAUCGCUAGUAAUCGUAGAUCAGCAUGCUACGGUGAAUA
rnacentral:rRNA from 1 species